rnacentral:rRNA from 1 species
UGAGCCAAGUUUAGGGUUUUCUCAAAACCCAAGCAGUAUUGAACUGAAGAGUUUGAUCAUGGCUCAGAUUGAACGCUGGCGGCAGGCCUAACACAUGCAAGUCGAGCGGAUGAAGGGAGCUUGCUCCUGGAUUCAGCGGCGGACGGGUGAGUAAUGCCUAGGAAUCUGCCUGGUAGUGGGGGAUAACGUCCG